AGAAACUGUCAACCCUAGUUCGGAUGGAAAUGCACCUUCUGAGAUUGAGAGUGACCUUGCACUUGAUACAUUAGCCAAAAAGGUUCAAGAAUCUCUUACUCUCGGAAAGAGACAUAAAUUUUGGGAAACUCAACCAGUUGGGCAAUUCAAGGAUAUUGGGGACACCAGUUUGGCUGAAGGCCCCAUUGAACCUCCAACACCUUUAUCUGAGGUAAAACAGGAACCCUACAACCUUCCCAACCUCUAUGAAUGGGUUACUUGUGAUAUUGACUCUGAUGAAAUGUGUACUGAGGUCUACAAUCUUCUGACUAAUAACUACGUUGAGGAUGAUGAGAAUAUGUUCAGAUUUAAGUAUUCAAAGGAGUUUCUUCGCUGGGCUCUUCGCCCUCCAGGCUACUUCAAGAGCUGGCACAUUGGGGUCCGUGUCAAAAGUUCAAAGAAGUUGGUUGCUUUUAUCACGGGUGUUCCUGCAAGAAUCCGAGUUCGUGAUGACAUUGUUAUCAUGGCAGAAAUAAAUUUCUUGUGUGUUCAUAAGAA
rnacentral:misc_RNA from 1 species